AGAGUUUGAUCCUGGCUCAGAGUGAACGCUGGCGGCGUGGAUUAGGCAUGCAAGUCGCGCGAUCCUUCGGGAUAGCGGCAAACGGGUGAGUAACGCGUAGGCAAUUUUCCUUAAAGACAGGCACAGUAACGCGAAAGCGUUAGUAAUUCCUGAUAUGGCCACAGUACCGUAUGGUGCAGUGGUUAAAGGUGGGGAUUCUUCGGAACCUACCGCUUUAAGAUGAGCCUGCGUCCUAUCAGCUUGUUGGUGAGGUAAUGGCUCACCAAGGCGUAUGACGGGUAGUUGGUCUGAGAGGAUGAUCAGCCACACUGGGACUGAGACACUGCCCAGACUCCUACGGGAGGCUGCAGUCGAGAAUCAUUCACAAUGAACGAAAGUUUGAUGAUGCGACGCCGCGUGCAGGACGAAGGCCUUAGGGUCGUAAACUGCUUUUGUUUGGAAAGAAACUUUAAACUCUAACAUAGUUUAAACUGACGGUACCAUUCGAAUAAGCCACGGCCAACUCCGUGCCAGCAGCCGCGGUAAUACGGAGGUGGCAAGCGUUACUCGGAAUUAUUGGGUGUAAAGGGCAAGUAGGCGGUCUAGUAAGCGAGGGGUGAAAUCUUACGACUCAAUCGUAAAACUGCCUUUCGAACUACUAGACUUGAGGCCAAAAGAGGAAAACGGAAUUAGCAGUGUAAGGGUGAAAUCUGUAGAUAUUGCUAAGAACACCUGCGGCGAAGGCGGUUUUCUGGUUUGGUUCUGACGCUAAAUUGCGAAAGCUAGGGUAGCAAACGGAAUUAGAUACUCCGGUAGUCCUAGCCGUAAACGAUGAGUACUAGGUGUUGGGUCUUCGGACUCAGUGCCGCAGCUAACGCAUUAAGUACUCCACCUGGGGACUACGGCCGCAAGGCUAAAACUCAAAGGAAUUGACGGGGACCCGCACAAGCGGUGGAACAUGUGGUUUAAUUCGAUGCUACGCGAAGAACCUCACCAAGGCUUGACAUGCUCGUCGUACUCUGCCCAAAAGCGGAGGUCAUUUAGUUGGACGAUGCACAGGUGCUGCAUGGCUGUCGUCAGCUCGUGUCGUGAGAUGUUGGGUUAAGUCCCGCAACGAGCGCAACCAUUGCCCUAUGUUGCCACUUCGUCUUCGGACGGAAGCACUCUUAGGGGACUGCCCGGGAUAACCGGGAGGAAGGUGGAGAUGACGUCAAGUCAGUACCGGCCCUUAUGCCUUGGGCUACACACGUGUUACAAUGGACGGUACAAAGGGUUGCCAACCCGCGAGGGGGAGCUAAUCUCAAAAAACCGUCCCCAGUUCGGAUAACAGUCUGCAAUUCGACUGUUUGAAGCCGGAAUCGCUAGUAAUGGGAGAUCAGCUCGCUCCCGUGAAUAUCGUUCCCGGGUCUUGUACACACCGCCCGUCAAGCGAUGGAAGCCGGGGGUACCCGAAGUCCUAUGUAGAUAGGCCGAAGGUAAAAUUGGUGACUGGCGCUAAGUCGUAACAAGGUA
rnacentral:rRNA from 1 species